CUACGGGACGCUCCAGUGAGGAAUAUUGCACAAUGGGGGGAACCCUGAUGCAGCAACGCCGCGUGGAGGAUGACGCAUUUCAGUGUGUAAACUCCUUUUAUAUGUCAAGAAAAUGACGGUAGCAUAUGAAUAAGCACCGGCUAACUCCAUGCCAGCAGCCGCGGUAAUACGGAGGGUGCAAGCGUUACUCGGAAUCACUGGGCGUAAAGGACGCGUAGGCGGGUUGGAAAGUCAGGUGUGAAAUCCUACAGCUUAACUGUAGAACUGCACUUGAAACUUCUAAUCUAGAGUAUGGGAGGGGGAGAUGGAAUUAGUGGUGUAGGGGUAAAAUCCGUAGAUAUCACUAGGAAUACCUAAAGCGAAGGCGAUCUCCUGGAACAUUACUGACGCUAAGGCGUGAAAGCGUGGGGAGCAAACAGGAUUAGAUACCCCUGUAGUC
rnacentral:rRNA from 1 species